rnacentral:rRNA from 1 species
AUGAACGCUGGCGGCGUGCUUAACACAUGCAAGUCGAACGGGAAACCUUUUAUUGAAGCUUCGGCAGAUUUAGCUGGUUUCUAGUGGCGGACGGGUGAGUAACGCGUGGGUAACCUGCCCUAUACAGGGGGAUAACAACCAGAAAUGGUUGCUAAUACCGCAUAAGCGCACAGGGCCGCAUGGUCCGGUGUGAAAAACUCCGGUGGUAUAGGAUGGACCCGCGUUGGAUUAGCCAGUUGGCAGGGUAACGGCCUACCAAAGCGACGAUCCAUAGCCGGCCUGAGAGGGUGAACGGCCACAUUGGGACUGAGACACGGCCCAGACUCCUACGGGAGGCAGCAGUGGGGAAUAUUGCACAAUGGGGGAAACCCUGAUGCAGCGACGCCGCGUGAAGGAAGAAGUAUCUCGGUAUGUAAACUUCUAUCAGCAGGGAAGAUAGUGACGGUACCUGACUAAGAAGCCCCGGCUAACUACGUG